UUCUGGAUCGGAUGGAGCUGCGCUUGU
rnacentral:sRNA from 1 species